rfam:Dipodomys ordii contig_30359, whole genome shotgun sequence.
GGGAAGGUGGCUCAGUGGUAGAGUGCUUGCCUUGCAUGCAUGAGGCCCUGGGUUUGAUUCCUCCGUACCA